rnacentral:pre_miRNA from 1 species
AUCAUACUACCUCCGUCCGGAAAUACUUGUCCUAGAGAUGAAUGUAUCUAGACUUAUUUUAAUUGUAGAUACAUCCAUUAUAUGCAUUUUUAGGACAAAUAUUUCCGGACGGAGGGAGUAUUAA